rnacentral:tRNA from 1 species
AGGGUACAGCUCAAGUGUUAGAGCACAUGCUUAGCAUGCACAAGUCCUGGGUUCAAUUCCCAGUACUCCUC